rnacentral:rRNA from 1 species
AUUGAACGCUGGCGGCAGGCCUAACACAUGCAAGUCGAGCGGAUGAGAGGAGCUUGCUCCUUGAUUCAGCGGCGGACGGGUGAGUAAUGCCUAGGAAUCUGCCUGGUAGUGGGGGAUAACGUUCCGAAAGGAGCGCUAAUACCGCAUACGUCCUACGGGAGAAAGCAGGGGACCUUCGGGCCUUGCGCUAUCAGAUGAGCCUAGGUCGGAUUAGCUAGUUGGUGAGGUAAUGGCUCACCAAGGCGACGAUCCGUAACUGGUUUGAGAGGAUGAUCAGUCACACUGGAACUGAGACACGGUCCAGACUCCUACGGGAGGCAGCAGUGGGGAAUAUUGGACAAUGGGCGAAAGCCUGAUCCAGCCAUGCCGCGUGUGUGAAGAAGGUCUUCGGAUUGUAAAGCACUUUAAGUUGGGAGGAAGGGCAGUAAGUUAAUACCUUGCUGUUUUGACGUUACCAACAGAAUAAGCACCGGCUAACUUCGUGCCAGCCGCCGCAGUAAUAC